rnacentral:lncRNA from 1 species
UGCUAAGCUCACUUAGACCUAUGAGCCUUCUAGCCCAGGAUUUUGACAUUGACCAGAGUGGGGCGGUCAGAGUGCGUUCCAAGAAACCCUGCACCAAGCAGUUAGGUUAUCCCUUAUCUCCAAAAAAGUUUCCAUUCCUCCCUCUGUAAUUAGAGGUUAGCUAAUGCCUCAAAUCAUGAGAGUUUAUAUCUUUCCUGAGACCUCAUUUCAAAAAUAACUUUAAAUAUUUACUGCUGUAACGCUGGUCGUGCUCGUUACGAAAGUCCAAUCGUGGCUGGAGUCUUGCCAGGAUUUUAUUAUCUCUCAGCUUCAUCCCAUUUUCCUGCUGCAUGAUGAUCUAAGGGUGGGUGAGAGCAAUGAUUUAUACGAUAACCCAAAAAAAGAAUGGUAGCUGUUUUGGGAAAUUGUCAGAAAGCAACUAACUUUUCCUAUAUAUAGUUUUUUCCAUGUCAUGUAACUCACUGCAGCAGGAGCACAGGCUUUGGCGCUGUGCUGUUAGCCGUGGGUUUGUUUUCCAGCCUUAUGGCUCUGUGCUGGUGGAGACCCCGAGGCUGGGGCCCACCUGCCAGCUGUGAUGUGCUGCUGGCCCAGGGCCACCCCAGGUGCUGGGGUUCGAGAUCUGGUCUGGAGCAGCCCCUUCCCAAUUGCCUUCCCUUUCCUUUUUACGCACUCAGGGUUGAUCUCUGGGGCAGAACGGCGAGCGUUGGCCUGCAGGGUGCGGACAAGAGAACCAGUGAUGAUACAACCAUGGAAAUAUUGGAGCUGUGGAAUUUUGGAAGGCCUGUGCACAGCAUACUGGGGAGCUCAUGCAGCCUGGAGCAGCAAAGGCCAUGUCCAUUCCCAUAUCAAGAUGAAUAUUAUUUCCUUCAGCCAUGCCAUGUCAUUAUGGAAGAUAGCUGGCCUUUCAGACUUCCUGAGAUUUACACAUCUACCACUUUCCUUGUGUUUCAGCUACCUCCUUGGAUUGUACAUAUUAUUACAGCAGUGGUCUCGCCAGCACCAUAUGCAGAGGUAAUAAUAACAUCUUGCUUUGGCACAAUAUGCUCUCAGUAUAACUGAGUAUUGUAUCUUCUAUUUUACAGGACAGCAUAUCAGGUUUUUGGGACUGCCUACUUCUGAAUAUGCUCUAAGAGUGAC